rfam:Williamsia sp. D3 Contig006, whole genome shotgun sequence.
GCCCUCGUAGCUCAGUGGAUAGAGCACCGCUCUCCUAAAGCGGGUGUCGCAGGUUCGAUUCCUGCCGGGGGCA